CUUGGCUCCUCCAUGACAACAGCGUGUGAUGGAGCGGGCGGGCGCAGCGGGGCAGCACUGGGUCUCCGGCGGCGGGGAAGGAUGUUGGCAAUUUGUAGGAUGGGAGCUGCGGGAGCAGACUGCCUGGCCAUGCCUCUGUCUAGGAGCCGGACAUACUGGGUGUUUCAGGGGUUCACCACGAUUUCCAGGCUUUCCAGAAGGACCAGCUGAACCAUGAGGACCUGGAGCACCAGCGGCACCAG